rnacentral:misc_RNA from 1 species
AACAUCGCGCACCUGCGGGAACCUGCGGAGGGAUCAUUACACAAUACAAUAUGAAGGCUGUCCGCAGCUGGAGUAUUUUAUUACCCUUGUCUUUUGCGCACUUGUUGUUUCCUGGGCGGGUUCGCUCGCCACCAGGACCACCAAAUAAACCUUUUUUAUGCAGUUGCAAUCAGCGUCAGUACAAACAAUGUAAAUCAUUUACAACUUUUAACAAUGGAUCU